CCUACGGGAGGCAGCAGUGGGGAAUAUUGGACAAUGGGGGCAACCCUGAUCCAGCCAUGCCGUGUGUGUGAAGAAGGCCCUCGGGUUGUAAAGCACUUUCAGUGAGGAAGAACGCCUGGUGGUUAAUACCCAUCAGGAAAGACAUCACUCACAGAAGAAGCACCGGCUAACUCCGUGCCAGCAGCCGCGGUAAUACGGAGGGUGCGAGCGUUAAUCGGAAUUACUGGGCGUAAAGCGCGCGUAGGUGGCUUGAUAAGCCGGUUGUGAAAGCCCCGGGCUCAACCUGGGAACGGCAUCCGGAACUGUCAAGCUAGAGUGCAGGAGAGGAAGGUAGAAUUCCCGGUGUAGCGGUGAAAUGCGUAGAGAUCGGGAGGAAUACCAGUGGCGAAGGCGGCCUUCUGGACUGACACUGACACUGAGGUGCGAAAGCGUGGGUAGCAAACAGGAUUAGAUACCCCAGUAGUC
rnacentral:rRNA from 1 species